GGGUGAGUAACACGUGGGCAAUCUGCCCUGCACUCUGGGACAAGCCCUGGAAACGGGGUCUAAUACCGGAUACUGACCCUCACGGGCAUCUGUGAGGUUCGAAAGCUCCGGCGGUGCAGGAUGAGCCCGCGGCCUAUCAGCUUGUUGGUGAGGUAAUGGCUCACCAAGGCGACGACGGGUAGCCGGCCUGAGAGGGCGACCGGCCACACUGGGACUGAGACACGGCCCAGACUCCUACGGGAGGCAGCAGUGGGGAAUAUUGCACAAUGGGCGAAAGCCUGAUGCAGCGACGCCGCGUGAGGGAUGACGGCCUUCGGGUUGUAAACCUCUUUCAGCAGGGAAGAAGCGAAAGUGACGGUACCUGCAGAAGAAGCGCCGGCUAACUACGUGCCAGCAGCCGCGGUAAUACGUAGGGCGCGAGCGUUGUCCGGAAUUAUUGGGCGUAAAGAGCUCGUAGGCGGCUUGUCACGUCGGUUGUGAAAGCCCGGGGCUUAACCCCGGGUCUGCAGUCGAUACGGGCAGGCUAGAGUUCGGUAGGGGAGAUCGGAAUUCCUGGUGUAGCGGUGAAAUGCGCA
rnacentral:rRNA from 1 species